UAGACAAUCCCUGACCUGGUCAGGUGUGGUGAAUAUAGACAAUCCCUGACCUGGUCAGGUGUGGUGAAUAUAGACAAUCCCUGACCUGGUCAGGUGUGGUGAAUAUAGACAAUCCCUGACCUGGUCAGGUGUGGUGAAUAUAGACAAUCCCUGACCUGGUCAGGUGUGGUGACUAUAGACAAUCCCUGACCUGGUCAGGUGUGGUGACUAUAGACAAUCCCUGACCUGGUCAGGUGGUCAGGUGUGGUGAAUAUAGACAAUCCCUGACCUGAUCAGGUGUGGUGAAUAUAGACAAUCCCUGACCUGGUCAGGUGUGGUGAAUAUAGACAAUCCCAGACCUGGUCAGGUGUGGUGAAUAUAGACAAUCCCUGACCUGGUCAGGUGUGGUGAAUAUAGACAAUCCCUGACCUGGUCAGGUGUGGUGAAUAUAGACAAUCCCUGACCUGGUCAGGUGUGGUGAAUAUAGACAAUCCCUGACCUGGUCAGGUGUGGUGAAUAUAGACAAUCCCUGACCUGGUCAGGUGUGGUGACUAUAGACAAUCCCUGACCUGGUCAGGUGUGGUGACUAUAGACAAUCCCUGACCUGGUCAGGUGUGGUGAAUAUAGACAAUACCUGACCUGGUCAGGUGUGGUGACUAUAGACAAUCCCUGACCUGGUCAGGUGUGGUGACUAUAGACAAUCCCUGACCUGAUCAGGUGGUCAGGUGUGGUGAAUAUAGACAAUCCCUGACCUGGUCAGGUGUGGUGAAUAUAGACAAUCCCUGACCUGGUCAGGUGUGGUGAAUAUAGACAAUCCCUGACCUGGUCAGGUGUGGUGAAUAUAGACAAUCCCUGACCUGGUCAGGUGGUCAGGUGUGGUGAAUAUAGACAAUCCCUGACCUGGUCAGGUGUGGUGAAUAUAGACAGUCCCUGACCUGGUCAGGUGUGGUGAAUAUAGACAAUCCCUGACCUGGUCAGGUGUGGUGAAUAUAGAAAAUCCCUGACCUGGUCAGGUGUGGUGAAUAUAGACAAUCCCUGACCUGGUCAGGUGUGGUGAAUAUAGACAAUCCCUGACCUGGUCAGGUGUGGUGACUAUAGACAAUCCCUGACCUGGUCAGGUGUGGUGAAUAUAGACAAUCCCUGACCUGGUCAGGUGUGGUGAAUAUAGACAAUCCCUGACCUGGUCAGGUGUGGUGAAUAUAGACAAUCCCUGACCUGGUCAGGUGUGGUGAAUAUAGACAAUCCCUGACCUGGUCAGGUGGUCAGGUGUGGUGAAUAUAGACAAUCCCUGACCUGGUCAGGUGUGGUGAAUAUAGACAAUCCCUGACCUGAUCAGGUGUGGUGAAUAUAGACAAUCCCUGACCUGGUCAGGUGUGGUGAAUAUAGACAAUCCCUGACCUGGUCAGGUGUGGUGAAUAUAGACAAUCCCUGACCUGGUCAGGUGUGGUGAAUAUAGACAAUCCCUGACCUGGUCAGGUGUGGUGAAUAUAGACAAUCCCUGACCUGGUCAGGUGUGGUGAAUAUAGACAAUCCCUGACCUGGUCAGGUGUGGUGAAUAUAGACAAUCCCUGACCUGGUCAGGUGUGGUGACUAUAGAAAAUCCCUGACCUGGUCAGGUGUGGUGAAUAUAGACAAUCCCUGACCUGGUCAGGUGGUCAGGUGUGGUGAAUAUAGACAAUCCCUGACCUGGUCAGGUGUGGUGAAUAUAGACAAUCCCUGACCUGGUCAGGUGUGGUGAAUAUAGACAAUCCCUGACCUGGUCAGGUGUGGUGAAUAUAGAAAAUCCCUGACCUGGUCAGGUGUGGUGAAUAUAGACAAUCCCUGACCUGGUCAGGUGUGGUGAAUAUAGACAAUCCCUGACCUGGUCAGGUGUGGUGAAUAUAGACAAUCCCUGACCUGGUCAGGUGUGGUGAAUAUAGACAAUCCCUGACCUGGUCAGGUGUGGUGAAUAUAGACAAUCCCUGACCUGGUCAGGUGUGGUGAAUAUAGACAAUCCCUGACCUGGUCAGGUGUGGUGAAUAUAGACAAUCCCUGACCUGGUCAGGUGUGGUGAAUAUAGACAAUCCCUGACCUGGUCAGGUGUGGUGACUAUAGACAAUCCCUGACCUGGUCAGGUGUGGUGAAUAUAGACAAUCCCUGACCUGGUCAGGUGUGGUGAAUAUAGACAAUCCCUGACCUGGUCAGGUGUGGUGACUAUAGACAAUCCCUGACCUGGUCAGGUGUGAUGACUAUAGACAAUCCCUGACCUGGUCAGGUGUGGUGACUAUAGACAAUCCCUGACCUGGUCAGGUGUGGUGAAUAUAGACAAUCCCUGACCUGGUCAGGUGUGGUGAAUAUAGACUAUCCCUGACCUGGUCAGGUGUGGUGAAUAUAGACUAUCCCUGACCUGGUCAGGUGUGGUGAAUAUAGACAAUCCCUGACCUGGUCAGGUGUGGUGACUAUAGACAAUCCCUGACCUGGUCAGGUGUGGUGAAUAUAGACAAUCCCUGACCUGGUCAGGUGUGGUGAAUAUAGACAAUCCCUGACCUGGUCAGGUGUGGUGACUAUAGACAAUCCCUGACCUGGUCAGGUGUGGUGACUAUAGACAAUCCCUGACCUGGUCAGGUGUGGUGAAUAUAGACAAUCCCUGACCUGGUCAGGUGUGGUGAAUAUAGACAAUCCCUGACCUGGUCAGGUGUGGUGAAUAUAGACAAUCCCUGACCUGGUCAGGUGGUCAGGUGUGGUGAAUAUAGACAAUCCCUGACCUGGUCAGGUGUGGUGAAUAUAGACAGUCCCUGACCUGGUCAGGUGUGGUGAAUAUAGACAAUCCCUGACCUGGUCAGGUGUGGUGAAUAUAGACAAUCCCUGACCUGGUCAGGUGUGGUGAAUAUAGACAAUCCCUGACCUGGUCAGGUGGUCAGGUGUGGUGAAUAUAGACAAUCCCUGACCUGGUCAGGUGUGGUGAAUAUAGAAAAUCCCUGACCUGGUCAGGUGUGGUGAAUAUAGACAAUCCCUGACCUGGUCAGGUGUGGUGAAUAUAGAAAAUCCCUGACCUGGUCAGGUGUGGUGACUAUAGACAAUCCCUGACCUGGUCAGGUGGUCAGGUGUGGUGACUAUAGACAAUCCCUGACCUGGUCAGGUGUGGUGACUAUAGACAAUCCCUGACCUGGUCAGGUGGUCAGGUGUGGUGACUAUAGACAAUCCCUGACCUGGUCAGGUGGUCAGGUGUGGUGAAUAUAGACAAUCCCUGACCUGGUCAGGUGUGGUGAAUAUAGACAAUCCCUGACCUGGUCAGGUGUGGUGAAUAUAGACAAUUCCUGACCUGGUCAGGUGUGGUGAAUAUAGACAAUACCUGACCUGGUCAGGUGUGGUGGAUAUAGACAAUCCCUGACCUGGUCAGGUGUGGUGACUAUAGACAAUCCCUGACCUGAUCAGGUGGUCAGGUGUGGUGAAUAUAGACAAUCCCUGACCUGGUCAGGUGUGGUGAAUAUAGACAAUCCCUGACCUGGUCAGGUGUGGUGAAUAUAGACAAUCCCUGACCUGGUCAGGUGUGGUGAAUAUAGACAAUUCCUGACCUGGUCAGGUGUGGUGAAUAUAGACAAUACCUGACCUGGUCAGGUGUGGUGAAUAUAGACAAUCCCUGACCUGGUCAGGUGUGGUGACUAUAGACAAUCCCUGACCUGAUCAGGUGGUCAGGUGUGGUGAAUAUAGACAAUCCCUGACCUGGUCAGGUGUGGUGAAUAUAGACAAUCCCUGACCUGGUCAGGUGUGGUGAAUAUAGACAAUCCCUGACCUGGUCAGGUGUGGUGACUAUAGACAAUCCCUGACCUGGUCAGGUGUGGUGAAUAUAGACAAUCCCUGACCUGGUCAGGUGUGGUGAAUAUAGACAAUCCCUGACCUGGUCAGGUGUGGUGACUAUAGACAAUCCCUGACCUGGUCAGGUGUGGUGACUAUAGACAAUCCCUGACCUGGUCAGGUGUGGUGAAUAUAGACAAUCCCUGACCUGGUCAGGUGUGGUGAAUAUAGACAAUCCCUGACCUGGUCAGGUGUGGUGACUAUAGACAAUCCCUGACCUGAUCAGGUGGUCAGGUGUGGAGAAUAUAGACAAUCCCUGACCUGGUCAGGUGUGGUGAAUAUAGACAAUCCCUGACCUGGUCAGGUGUGGUGAAUAUAGACAAUCCCUGACCUGGUCAGGUGUGGUGACUAUAGACAAUCCCUGACCUGGUCAGGUGUGGUGAAUAUAGACAAUCCCUGACCUGGUCAGGUGUGGUGAAUAUAGACAAUCCCUGACCUGGUCAGGUGUGGUGACUAUAGACAAUCCCUGACCUGGUCAGGUGUGGUGACUAUAGACAAUCCCUGACCUGGUCAGGUGUGGUGACUAUAGACAAUCCCUGACCUGGUCAGGUGUGGUGAAUAUAGACAAUCCCUGACCUGGUCAGGUGUGGUGAAUAUAGACAAUCCCUGACCUGGUCAGGUGUGGUGAAUAUAGACAAUCCCUGACCUGGUCAGGUGUGGUGAAUAUAGACAAUCCCUGACCUGGUCAGGUGUGGUGAAUAUAGACAAUCCCUGACCUGGUCAGGUGUGGUGAAUAUAGACAAUCCCUGACCUGGUCAGGUGUGGUGAAUAUAGACAAUCCCUGACCUGGUCAGGUGUGGUGACUAUAGACAAUCCCUGACCUGGUCAGGUGUGGUGACUAUAGACAAUCCCUGACCUGGUCAGGUGUGGUGAAUAUAGACAA